rnacentral:rRNA from 1 species
AGAGUUUGAUCCUGGCUCAGGACGAACGCUGGCGGCGUGCUUAACACAUGCAAGUGGUGCGACGAACCAGGGCUUGCCUUGGGGCAAAGCCGCGAACGGGUGAGUAACACGUGGGUAAUCUGCCCCGAUGACUGGGAUAACCCGAGGAAACUCGGGCUAAUACCGGAUGAAGUGUACUGGCAUAAGCCGGUCCACUAAAGGUAGCUUCAGCUUCCGCAUUGGGAGGGGCCCGCGGCCCAUUAGCUUGUUGGUGGGGUCAAGGCCUACCAAGGCAACGAUGGGUAGCUGGUCUGAGAGGACGAUCAGCCACACUGGGACUGAGACACGGCCCAGACUCCUACGGGAGGCAGCAGUGGGGAAUCUUGCGCAAUGCGCGAAAGCGUGACGCAGCAACACCGCGUGAGGGAAGACGGCCUUAGGGUUGUAAACCUCUUUCAGAUGGGACGAAGGUGAUGCGGUGAAUAGCCGAUGUCAUUGACGGUACCGUCAGAAGAAGCUCCGGCUAACUACGUGCCAGCAGCCGCGGUAAUACGUAGGGAGCGAGCGUUGUCCGGAAUCAUUGGGCGUAAAGAGCGCGUAGGUGGGUUAAUUAGUCUGCUGUGAAAGUCAAAGGCUCAACCUUUGAAAGCCGGCGGAUACUAUUGAUCUAGAGUACGGAAGAGGCGAGUGGAACUCCUGGUGUAGCGGUGGAAUGCGCAGAUAUCAGGAGGAACACCAAUAGCGAAGGCAGCUCGCUGGGACGUUACUGACACUGAGGCGCGAAAGCGUGGGGAGCAGACAGGAUUAGAUACCCUGGUAGUCCACGCCGUAAACGAUGGGUACUAGGUGUGGGAGGUGUCGACUCCUCCCGUACCGUCGCUAACGCACUAAGUACCCCGCCUGGGGAGUACGGCCGCAAGGCUAAAACUCAAAUGAAUUGACGG